AUGUUUUCAAUGAAUUUCGACUAUACCCAUUAAAAAAAUUCCUUCUUUGUUUCGAUUUUUGGAAUAUUGGCUAGAGGUUGGUAAGUUGAAACUUAUAUGUGACAUUUCUGUAAGUUUUCCAUAAUAUAGUACUCUCUCCAGUCCACAAUAAGUAAUUUUAUGACUUUUUGUGGUCCAAAAUAAGUAAUUUUCUAUUUCAAGAAUGAAUUAAUUAUUUUUUUCCUAUAUUGUCCUUGGAGUAAAUAGUGUUGGAGUAUGUGUUAGGAAUAUUUAUGUGAAGAGAUAGUAAAGGUUAAUAUGG
rnacentral:lncRNA from 1 species